ACAUUGGAGAUCUGUAUAACUUCCAAAGGUUAUUACCUAGAUUGUUUGCAAUAACCUUUACGCUGCCAUUUUAUUUGCCAUUCCUGAGAUUUCUAUAUGUAGAUUCUUGCUCUUUAGUUGUGUAUUAAUUAUGAAUUUAUGUUUUUAUUUUAUUUUGAACAUUUCUCCGUCUUCCGUCUUUGAGUGUGAUUUUUGGGUUUUUUGAAUUGCCUUUGGUGUGCAUGUGUGGUGCUACUACAGUAUUUUCUUUUUUAAUUCUUUGGUUUGGAUUUAUAGAAAUGUUAAAAGAAGCUAAUCAAGGAAAAGAAAGUGUUUUUUAUUUUGUAAUUUUGCAGAAGAAUGAGAUUUUUGCAAGAGAGAUUGGAGGAAGAAAACUGCGGAUUUGACUGGUGUGGACAGAGAGUAAGGGAUGCGGAGGAUUAGGGAACAUCAUACAAAGAGAUGUUCAAUGUAAGAAGAAGAGAAUUAAAAAAAGUAGCACUAAUAUGCUCCAUCAGCCAAAAUACGGGUUGAAUUAGAAAUGCUCACCCAUCACUCUGUUUUUCAAUACGUGGUGGUGAAAUUAUAGAUAAAGAAGAAAAAUA